rnacentral:sRNA from 11 species
ACGCGCCGGGUGUCAACCGGCCGCAACGGAGAAGAUGGACGCGGUUGAUUUUGCCGGUUUCUGACCGCGGCAGCAACGUAUUGGUAUGCGUGGCAUCUAACCCGUUUCCGGC